rnacentral:rRNA from 1 species
UGGGGAAUUUUGGACAAUGGGCGAAAGCCUGAUCCAGCAAUGCCGCGUGUGUGAAGAAGGCCUUCGGGUUGUAAAGCACUUUUGUCCGGAAAGAAAUCCUUGGCUCUAAUACAGUCGGGGGAUGACGGUACCGGAAGAAUAAGCACCGGCUAACUACGUGCCAGCAGCCGCGGUAAUACGUAGGGUGCAAGCGUUAAUCGGAAUUACUGGGUGUAAAGCGUGCGCAGGCGGUUUGCUAAGACCGAUGUGAAAUCCCCGGGCUCAACCUGGGAACUGCAUUGGUGACUGGCAGGCUAGAGUAUGGCAGAGGGGGGUAGAAUUCCACGUGUAGCAGUGAAAUGCGUAGAGAUGUGGAGGAAUACCGAUGGCGAAGGCAGCCCCCUGGGCCAAAUACUGACGCUCAUGCACGAAAGCGUGGGGAGCAAACAGGAUUAGAUACCCUGGUAGUCCACGCCCUAAACGAUGUCAACUAGUUGUUGGGGAUUCAUUUCCUUAGUAACGUAGCUAACGCGUGAAGUUGACCGCCUGGGGAGUACGGUCGCAAGAUUAAAACUUAAAUGAAUUGACGGGGUCAUAGCUGUUUCCU